GAUGAACGCUGGCGGCGUGCCUAAUACAUGCAAGUCGAGCGAACAGACGAGGAGCUUGCUCCUCUGACGUUAGCGGCGGACGGGUGAGUAACACGUGGAUAACCUACCUAUAAGACUGGGAUAACUUCGGGAAACCGGAGCUAAUACCGGAUAAUAUAUUGAACCGCAUGGUUCAAUAGUGAAAGACGGUUUUGCUGUCACUUAUAGAUGGAUCCGCGCCGCAUUAGCUAGUUGGUAAGGUAACGGCUUACCAAGGCAACGAUGCGUAGCCGACCUGAGAGGGUGAUCGGCCCCACUGGAACUGAGACACGGUCCAGACUCCUAAGGGAGGCCGCAGUAGGGAAUCUUCCGCAAUGGGCGAAAGCCUGACGGAGCAACGCCGCGUGAGUGAUGAAGGUCUUCGGAUCGUAAAACUCUGUUAUUAGGGAAGAACAAAUGUGUAAGUAACUAUGCACGUCUUGACGGUACCUAAUCAGAAAGCCACGGCUAACUACGUG
rnacentral:rRNA from 1 species